GGUCCUAUAGUGUAGUUGGUUAUCACCCAAGGUUUUGACUUCAAAGCCUCCUUGUAACUCCGGUUCGAAUCCGGAUAGGACCU
rfam:Candida albicans SC5314 chromosome 4 sequence.